CCUACGGGUGGCAGCAGUGAGGAAUAUUGGUCAAUGGACGAGAGUCUGAACCAGCCAAGUAGCGUGAAGGAUGACUGCCCUAUGGGUUGUAAACUUCUUUUAUAUGGGAAUAAAGUGUUCCACGUGUGGGAUUUUGUAUGUACCUUAUGAAUAAGGAUCGGCUAACUCCGUGCCAGCAGCCGCGGUAAUACGGAGGAUCCGAGCGUUAUCCGGAUUUAUUGGGUUUAAAGGGAGCGUAGGUGGGUUGUUAAGUCAGUUGUGAAAGUUUGCGGCUCAACCGUAAAAUUGCAGUUGAUACUGGCAGUCUUGAGUACAGUAGAGGUGGGCGGAAUUCGUGGUGUAGCGGUGAAAUGCUUAGAUAUCACGAAGAACUCCGAUUGCGAAGGCAGUUCACUGGACUGCAACUGACACUGAGGCUCGAAAGUGUGGGUAUCAAACAGGAUUAGAUACCCCAGUAGUC
rnacentral:rRNA from 1 species